rnacentral:rRNA from 1 species
AGAGUUUGAUCCUGGCUCAGAUUGAACGCUGGCGGCAGGCUUAACACAUGCAAGUCGGGCGGUAGCAGGGAGAAAGCUUGCUUUCUCCGCUGACGAGCGGCGGACGGGUGAGUAAUGUCUGGGGAUCUGCCUGAUGGAGGGGGAUAACUACUGGAAACGGUAGCUAAUACCGCAUAACGUCGCAAGACCAAAGUGGGGGACCUUCGGGCCUCAUGCCAUCAGAUGAACCCAGAUGGGAUUAGCUAGUAGGUGGGGUAAUGGCUCACCUAGGCGACGAUCCCUAGCUGGUCUGAGAGGAUGACCAGCCACACUGGAACUGAGACACGGUCCAGACUCCUACGGGAGGCAGCAGUGGGGAAUAUUGCACAAUGGGCGCAAGCCUGAUGCAGCCAUGCCGCGUGUAUGAAGAAGGCCUUCGGGUUGUAAAGUACUUUCAGUAGGGAGGAAGGUGUGAGCGUUAAUAGCGUUCACAAUUGACGUUACCUACAGAAGAAGCACCGGCUAACUCCGUGCCAGCAGCCGCGGUAAUACGGAGGGUGCAGGCGUUAAUCGGAAUUACUGGGCGUGAAGCGCACGCAGGCGGUUUGUUAAGUUGGAUGUGAAAUCCCCGGGCUUAACCUGGGAACUGCAUCCAAGACUGGCAAGCUAGAGUCUCGUAGAGGGAGGUAGAAUUCCAGGUGUAGCGGUGAAAUGCGUAGAGAUCUGGAGGAAUACCGGUGGCGAAGGCGGCCUCCUGGACGAAGACUGACGCUCAGGUGCGAAAGCGUGGGGAGCAAACAGGAAAAGAUACCCUGGUAGUCCACGCUGUAAACGAUGUCG